rnacentral:rRNA from 1 species
AACGUAGGUACCGAGCGUUAUCCGGAUUUACUGGGCGUAAAGCGCAUUCAGGCGGCUUGACAAGUCGGGCAUGAAAUCUCUCGGCUCAACCGGGAGGGGCUGUCCGAUACUGUCGGGCUUGAGGGCAGUAGAGGGUGGUGGAAUUCCGGGUGUAGUGGUGAAAUGCGUAGAUAUCCGGAGGAACACCAGUGGCGAAAGCGGCCACCUGGACUGUACCUGACGCUCAAACGCGAAAGCUAGGGGAGCGAACGGG